UUAGGCAGCGACAUCCGCUUGUUCAUUCUUGCUCAGGACUUGCCCAAGAUCAUCUUGACUUGGCUCUUAUUGGUACACUGUGUUGCAUGCCAACAUUGAUGGAAUUUUURAUGCUGCCGUUUGUCCCUAAAUUCACCUUGUGCUGCUAAUGUGGUGCGGGUUGAACAACGUAGUGCCUCGUGAUGCCCUGGCCGUCUUCACAUGUUGUGUUGUCGGUUUGGUCGACACGAGAAACUUGAAAACUCGGAUACAGAAAGUAAUGUUGGGCGUAUGGGGUCUAGCACUCCGUAAGCCUAGAUUGAGCGCUCUCGCCAACAAUGUUGACUUCCAGGAAAGCUGGYUGCCGUUGUUGGGCAGAGAGUGUCGAAAGACAAACUGUCGAACCUUUGUUCCGUAGGGGUCCGGAGGCGUAUGACCGUACGACCGAAGGCUGCUCGGGACGGGGCACAUCGGCAUGUUU
rnacentral:misc_RNA from 1 species